CCCCCACCCCUGAGCGCCUGCUGCGCACGCCCCGCCGCCGCCCGCGGUCACAGGCGCCUCCUAGCAACGGGACCCUAGCCUGGGCCGGGCGAGCGGCGCCAUGGAUCAGCAGGGCGUCACCAUCACCUCCGCCGCCGGAGGACGGGAGGAUCUGGAGCGGGAAUUGCUCGCCGCGGCCUCGAAACCAACACGGAAGACUUCAUCUUUUGAAAGAGAAGGAUGGUGGAGAGUAGCAUUAACAAAUACUCCUAUACCUGGCACAUACCACCUGAAAACUUUCAUUGAAGAAUCUUCGUUAAAUCCAGUGAUAGCAACGUACAAUUUCAAAAAUGAAGGAAGGAAAAAACCACCUCUCGUGCAAAGAAACAAUCCAGUCCUGAAUGAUCUUCCACAGUACAUGCCUCCUGACUUCCUGCACCUGCUAAACAAGCAAGCAGCCACUUACUCAUUCAAAGACAGGCCUCGGCCCAGCCCCAGCACGCUGGUGUACAAGGAUAAGUCUCUUCGGCUUUGCCCGGGGCAGUACGAGGUGCUUCCCGCCCCAGUUCCCAAGUUCCCUUCCAGGAGCUUCGUGUUUCGUUCUGCAGUUCAAAGAUUCCCAACUGGCUGCUUCAUACCUGAUCCACUGAAAGCUGUUUGUGCCUGGGAUGCAAGGGGACAGACCCAGUGCUCUGUCUAGGUUGCCUUCAGCUUGUGGUUUUAAAGAAAAGAGCGAGAGCUAGGUAUUGCAUCUUUCCAGCACCGGGAAGCGAGGUCGGUGCCCGGCCCUGGCUCCCACGUGAGGCGCCCACUCGCUGGCUUCUCGCCCCGUUGAGCCUCACUCUCUCAUCUGCUGAAUGGAGGCGACAGUGUGAGUUUCAAGUGACCAUGCACGGGAGCCAGUGGUGGCUGCGGGGCUGGGGCAGUGCUCUGGGCAGCUCCGUGGGGAGCUGCUGGUGGGCGGCCCUGCAGCCUGCGUGCUGAGCCCGUUUCAGGUCAGGCUGGAUCAACCUGUUUCGGACCAACCUUUCAAGCCCAGCACCUGCGGGCGGGGGUUUCCACCUGCUCCCGCCUCGGACAGGAAGGCUUCAAACCCGUGAGGUGUGCAGAGACUGGAAGCACUUGGCGACACGUAAUCGUUUACAUCUGCAACCAAACUGGAAAAGAUGCUCUGAGGGUUACUUACUAAUACACCUGAGAAAAGCAACACACUGUGACCGACAAGAGGCCAGCUCCCUCACUACAGGCCUAGGAAAGCGUCCUUUCACAGUCACUCCGCGUGUCUUUGGUGCCUGGAGUCUUCACCUGAGAAGUGGAGUGUGUGCACUUUCCGGAGAGAUGAUUUUAUAAAACACGAAGGCCCGGGACCAGGUCAUUAUAACUUGAAAAUACCACCACCAAGUUGUAUUACUUCUUGUUUCCAAUCCAGAGUCCCUCGGUUCCUGCCCAGCGGCUCA